UUCACGCUAGACAACGGCAUCGGCCGCAUCAAUUUCAUCAAAUUGUGCUACAUUGUUCUUCCCCGGGGGAAUUGGUGCAAAAUCUAUACCAAAACAAUUUCAAGUCCAGGACUAAAGGUUGGGUGGUUAGUCCGUGUUACUUGAGAUUGAAGUCUUUUAGCAGGAAUUACUUGGGUCCGUAUAGCUUCCUGGAAGGGUGCUGGUGUUGGAGACUAAAAUCAGCUAGGAGAUUUUUUCAUGGAAGUCAUGUUACUCAAAAAAAUUCUCAUAGCUCUUUCCAGAUAUGCUUGUGCUAAUUUGAUAUUAAGCUUUGUUUUGUGAAAUGAGACUAAAUUGUUGAUACUUUGUAUUAUGAUGUG